rnacentral:lncRNA from 10 species
GCAUUCUACUUUCAUGAGACAUACAAAUUAUGGGAAAGUUAACGGGGUUGUUUUCAAACUAACCUUGUACUAACAUAGUACUGGGUUCAGUACACAUGACCAGAUUUUUUUACACUUACUCCACCUAUAGUCCUCUAAUAAGAUUUGGUACUUAAUGACAUAAUGCUGUAGCUAAAUUGUCUAUUGUAAAAUUAACAGGGGCAGCAGAGAGUGAAGAGCAAAUCUAAUGCAUUAGAACAUUCACUGAAACUCUUGUCUCCAUCAAUCAGAACGUUCAAUGAAUCAGAACCCCUAAUGAAUCAGAACCUCUGACCACACUGGACACGUUUGCUAAAUUUAGCUUUGUAUCGGCAAACGCUGAAGCUCAGAAUAGUUUACAGAGCUCUCAUCUUACCCUUAGACAGUGAUUCUUCUAAGACUGCUUUUCCAUGGCAGGCCAAGGCAAGGCAAGGGGCAUUCCACAUGCUCUCUCAACGCCCAUUGUUAAGAGACUGGCCCAAGGUUAAAUGAAUCUGACAAGCCAUGGCAAAAAUGUUGAUCCCGACCUCUCCACAGUGGGACCAGGAAAUUAGCCAUAUAUCACAUUUCACGUGUUAGAAGUAGUUUGCAGGAAUGGCCUAACAUGCUCUAUGGUCCUUGAACCACAUCCCAUAUUACUCAACCAUCUAAGUCUAGCUUCCCUGAAUCUCUAGCUUCUCUGAAUUAGACGUGGCCAAGUUCUAUAAAUAGAGAGCAAGCAAACUGGUUCUGUCAAUCUUCUCAUACUCUGGCAAGAUGGCAUAUUUUAAAAUUAUAAAAAUAUCUAUGUCUUCAUCACUCUAAAAUUAUUACAUAACACAUGAUUUUCUCAGGGGAAAAAUGUUUAUUCUUGUCUUCCCUUACCUUCCAGCACUUAUGUAUGGACCUUCAAACUUUGUGAUCAUAUUCAUCAAACACAAACCAUACUUUACAACCAAAACUAAGGGCCUACUAUGUGCCAAACACUAUGUGCCAAACACUAUGUUAUGCAAAUCAAGAAAUGUUUAAGGAAAAAACAACCAAAAACCAAGUCUCUUAUUUUAAAUUCCAGCUGGCAAUUCUGUAACAACUUGUGGUAGCAUGAACAUAGGUCACUUUAGAUAGACUGCAGCUAUUACUGUAGUGUUAGCUCAUGAUCACUAUUCUAACAUGGGCUUUUAGUAGAUUUCACUAGAGACCUUCAUCCCAUAUGUCCCUAGAAGAGGCCAAUAUCCCUGCAUAGCUGAGGUCUUAAAAACAUGACAUUACAUAUGCAGGGUAAAUUCUAAAAUAGUGAGCUUGACAGACUCUUCCACUAUUCACUAUAUAUGUCUAAUCCAAUGAAGGAUAUAGGGCUUCCCUCACUCAUACCCCCUAAUAAAAAACCACAAAAUCAUAAUAAUAGACAUUAGCACAGUUUAUAAAUAAAUCACAUUUUAAUCAUCUGGCUUUGUUUAAUCUACAAAAUCAAAUUCACAGCUUUUUCUAGUCUGGUCUGUUUUUU